rnacentral:lncRNA from 1 species
CCAAUACAAGGAUGGAAACAUGGCUCAGCUCUCCCAGCGUCAGGCACUGACCCGUCAGUAUAUUCUGUGUCGUUUCAGUCUUAGAAGCUGAUCAGUUUACCACACACACAAUUGGAAGCAGCCUGGAGGGUGGAAUUAGAGAGCUGGCACCCACAACAACAGGGAAAAAGAACACUUCACUGACAGCUGUUGUCCAGAUGCCUGGGAGAGGGCCAAGAUUGCAGAGAGGAAUGUCACCAGGUCAGGAUCUGGAAACAAUCAGCUCUUAUGGUUUUAAGGAUGAAGCGCCAAGAUCUUAAGGAACCUGAAUUCCUGGUGAGCAGUCAAGUUCUUUAAUCCGCCCCCAGCAGGAUUCCGGCGGCUUAAAAAAGAAAAGAAAAAGAAAAUCUAUUUUAAAAACAAGUCAAACCAAAGCGAACCUACCCUAACCCUCCUCAUUUCUAAAGAAAAAGCCGCUUCCAACGCAGGUUUUUUUUCCUAAGGAAAAAGUCCUCCUGCACACUGCGACAGCUCAGCUGCAGGCCCCCAAUUAGGGGACGGCAGCCGGCGUGCGGCGCGGGGACCAGCGUCCUCCGCAGCCUGGGGCCCG